rnacentral:rRNA from 1 species
GAUGAACGCUGGCGGCGUGCCUAAUACAUGCAAGUCGAGCGAACGGACGAGAAGCUUGCUUUUCUGAUGUUAGCGGCGGACGGGUGAGUAACACGUGGAUAACCUACCUAUAAGACUGGGAUAACUUCGGGAAACCGGAGCUAAUACCGGAUAAUAUUUUGAACCGCAUGGUUCAAAAGUGAAAGACGGUCUUGCUGUCACUUAUAGAUGGAUCCGCGCUGCAUUAGCUAGUUGGUAAGGUAACGGCUUACCAAGGCAACGAUGCAUAGCCGACCUGAGAGGGGGAUCGGACAACGUGGAACGGAGCAACGGUCCAACCCCCAAGGGGAGGCAGGAGGAGGGAAUCUUCCGAAAUGGGGGAAAGCCUGACGGAGCAACGCCGGGGGGGUGAUGAAGGUUUUCGGAUCGUAAAACUCUGUUAUUAGGGAAAAAAAUAUGGGUAAGUAACUGUGCAAAUUUUGACGGUACCAAAUCAAAAAGCCCCGGCUAACUACGG